rnacentral:miRNA from 2 species
UGUCGAACCGCGGUUGUUCGA